rnacentral:rRNA from 1 species
AUACGGAGGGUGCAAGCGUUACUCGGAAUCACUGGGCGUAAAGCGCGCGCAGGCGGCUUGGUAAGUUGGAUGUGAAAGCCUACGGCUCAACCGUAGAACUGCAUCCAAAACUGUCAAGCUAGAGUGUGGGAGAGGAAGAUGGAAUUAGUUGUGUAGGGGUAAAAUCCGUAGAGAUAACUAGGAAUACCAAAAGCGAAGGCAAUCUUCUGGAACACUACUGACGCUGAGGCGCGAAAGCGUGGGGAGCAAACAGGAUUAGAAACCCUUGUAGUCC